rnacentral:rRNA from 1 species
UGGGGGCAACCCUGAUCCAGCAAUGCCGCGUGUGUGAAGAAGGCCUUCGGGUUGUAAAGCACUUUCAGUAGGGAAGAAAUUCUUAAGGUUAAUACCCUUGAGCGUUGACGUUACCUACAGAAGAAGCACUGGCUAACUCUGUGCCAGCAGCCGCGGUAAUACAGAGAGUGCAAGCGUUAAUCGGAAUCACUGGGCGUAAAGCGCACGUAGGUGGAUAUUUUAGUCGGAUGUGAAAGCCCCGGGCUUAACCUGGGAAUUGCACCCCAUACUGAGUAUCUAGAGUAUGGUAGAGGGAAGUGGAAUUUCCGGUGUAGCGGUGAAAUGCGUAGAUAUCGCAAAGAACAUCAGUGGCCAAGGCGACUUCCUGGACCAAUACUGACACUGAGGUGCGAAAGCGUGGGGAGCAAACAGGAUUAGAGACCCUGGUAGUCCACGCUGUCUACGAUGAGAACUAGACUUUGGGAGGGUAACCUUUUAGUGUCCAAGCUCACGCGUUUAGUUCUCCGCCUGGGGGAGCACGGCCGCAAGGUUAAAACUCACAGGAAUUCGACGGG